CCUUGUCCUGAAUUCGAAGCGAAUCUCGUUGCGAUACAGCAGCUCCACCUUGGUGUUGAGUCUGCAGCGAAUUUAUCGCCUAAAGUUAGUAUGAACACCCAAUCCACUGGAGGCUGAUUUGGCCGUCAACCGUAAUUGGCUGCACUAAUCAACAGCUCCGUAAUAUGCCAGCUGCAGUAUAUUACAUGACGCUACCUGGCUACCAUCAUACCUCGGUUGGCGGUUGCGCAUGCUAGGAAAGGCAACCAUCCACGGUUGACGGCUUAAUAAGACUCCAGUGGAUUGGGAGAUCAGUCUAACUUUAAGCGAUAAAUUCAUUGCCGACUCAACACCAAUCCUCCUUGUACUUUUAAUUGUGGAUUUAGCUUCGCAAACGUCCAGCGGCAUGGGAAAGCGCAAAAGCAGCGCCAUGGAAGCUACUGAAUCUGGAACGCAAAAUGCUAACAUGGAUCAGUCACUUCCAGCUAACGACAGUGACUUCUCACCACUAUCUAGCAGCACUCCAAAGAAAAUGACUGUAAAAGAUAGAGGCCACACAGGAAACAAAAUUCGAUCAUUUUCCGCUUCCGUUGUUUCUGAAGAUGAUCCCGAAGCUACAAAACGUGCCAUUCAUCAUCGUUUCGGAAAACUCAGCCAAGACGACACCAAUGUAAGCGAAUCCAACAAGAUCAUAAAAUGCGGGAAGUGUUAUGCGGCUCUUAUUCCGGACAACAAAGAUAAACCGUGGUUGCGCUGCACAGUCUGCCAACAUGCGUUCCAUCAUAUGUGCGCAUCGUAUGUGUCACCUCGUGUUACCCGAUCAGGAAAACCACCACCAAAACAGAAACCUUGGAAUUGUCCGUACUGUUCUAAGCGAUAAAAACUAAUUACUAAUAAUUAUCGAUUAAUUAUCGAUUAAUUAUGAAAUAUCGAUUUUUGCAGUUAGCUCUUCAUAUGCUUAGCUAAAAUGCUCUAAAUUAUAGAUUUGAUUUUCUGCAGUGCUUCUGUGUUUUCCCAUUUUACCGAAUUAAUUAGGCAUAAAAUGUCGUAAAACCUUU